rnacentral:lncRNA from 1 species
CCUUGAUGGAAAAAGAGAAUAAUAUACUUGAGCAGCUCGUUUGGCUAGCACUAUGGGGUCAUUGACAUAUGCUUUUGAUCUAUGUUUGAUUUCAAUAAACCCAUACCGUGGAUCAGUCUUCAUACAAUUAUCAGUAUUAAACCAUCAGCACUUCAACAGAAUGAUACUAUUAUCACCUAAGGAGUAGGUCAACUUGAUCACUUCUUUGAGAAUCCCAUAAUAGUCACUCUC